rnacentral:rRNA from 1 species
UACGUAGGCAGCGAGCGUUGUUCGGAGUUACUGGGCGUAAAGCGCACGUAGGCGGGUUGUUAAGUCAGGGGUGAAAUCCUGGAGCUCAACUCCAGAACUGCCUUUGAUACUGGCAACCUAGAGACUGGAAGAGGUUAGUGGAAUUCCCAGUGUAGGGGUGAAAUUCGUAGAUAUUGGGAAGAACACCAGUGGCGAAGGCGGCUAACUGGUCCAGCACUGACGCUGGAGGUGCGAAAGCGUGGGGAGCAAACAGG